AGGAGAUACGUGGCUAGUGGCAGUUGGAUUGACCCCACCUGUAGGCAUGUGAAGCUACUGAGCCCAUAAAAAGUGACACCACCACGCCUAGUGGCCCUUUGCGCUCUCUCCCCACUUUGGAGACAGCCCGCACUCUGUCCAUGGAGUGGGCACCUACUUUUA